UAGUCAAGAUAUUGAGGCGUUCGCCCUGAUAACAGGUUCUGAACGGGGAGCAUUCAAGCGCAGUGCAGAGCACAAAGCGCGCUCCUGUAAUAACUCAACAUGAUAGCGCCCUGCUACACAAUAUCUGACU
rnacentral:sRNA from 19 species